AUCAGAACCAACACACCCUUGUCACCAGAUACUGUGUGUCACCUCUUUUCUGGUCUGAAAUAAAAUGUGGAGAUAACAUAACCUGCCUACACCUAUCGAGAUAACGCCCUAACCCUAACACAGAAAAGAAUGAAAGGGAAAGCAAUCCGUAAUGAACGAACAAGUGCGCGUUUCAGUCCACAGAUGCUCAGCCGCGGCACAGAGCACAUGAAGGUGGGCCUCGCGCCUGAAGCGAAACUGCCACAAAUGGGAGAGCCGACAGUGUGAGCCUCACCAAUGGGAUGUUAUCGAAUCACACAUCAAAGGGGACGGGAUUCUCCAAAGUGGCCAACAACUCACAACAAACCCGGGACUUGGACAGCCACGGGGGCCACAAGGCGGCACGGAGAGCAGUGUGAGUGUGAACACGACCCAUCAAGGGUGGAGGCAUGAGACAGUGGAAGAGGCCCCAGCUGCCAUGGAUUGUUGGGCAGGAAAGCCAGCAUCUGCAACUUCUUUUGUGAGAAAAACAGAUCCUUCUUUGUCCAAGCCAAUGUAGUUGGGUUUUCUGUUACCUGCAGCUCAGAGUAUUCUUAACCGACCCCGUG
rnacentral:lncRNA from 1 species